CUACGGGAGGCAGCAGUAAGGAAUAUUGGUCAAUGGACGCAAGUCUGAACCAGCCAUGCCGCGUGAAGGAUGAAGGUCCUCUGGAUUGUAAACUUCUUUUAUAGGGGGCGAAAAAAGGGAAAUCUUUCUCACUUGACAGUACCCUAUGAAUAAGCACCGGCUAACUCCGUGCCAGCAGCCGCGGUAAUACGGAGGGUGCAAGCGUUAUCCGGAUUCACUGGGUUUAAAGGGUGCGUAGGCAGGCGUAUAAGUCAGUGGUGAAAUCCUGGAGCUUAACUCCAGAACUGCCAUUGAUACUAUAUGUCUUGAAUAUGGUGGAGGUAAGCGGAAUAUGUCAUGUAGCGGUGAAAUGCAUAGAUAUGACAUAGAACACCUAUUGCGAAGGCAGCUUACUACGCCUAUAUUGACGCUGAGGCACGAAAGCGUGGGGAUCAAACAGGAUUAGAUACCCUUGUAGUC
rnacentral:rRNA from 1 species